rnacentral:rRNA from 1 species
AGCGGCGGACGGGUGAGUAACACGUGGACAAUCUGCCCCCCGGUCCGGGAUAGCCCAGGGAAACCUGGAUUAAUACCGGAUGAGACGGGACCCGCGGAGGCGGGAUCCGGGAAAGGCGCUGCGGCGCCGCCGGGGGAUGAGUCUGCGUCCCAUUAGCUAGACGGCGGGGUAACGGCCCACCGUGGCGACGAUGGGUAGCCGGCCUGAGAGGGUGGACGGCCACAUUGGAACUGAGACACGGUCCAGACUCCUACGGGAGGCAGCAGCUAAGAAUCUUCCGCAAUGGGCGAAAGCCUGACGGAGCGACGCCGCGUGAACGAAGAAGGCCGUGAGGUUGUAAAGUUCUUUUCGGGAGGGGGAACAACCGUGGCAGGGAAUGGCCGCGGGAUGACGUGAAUCCCGGAAUAAGCCCCGGCUAACUACGUGCCAGCAGCCGCGGUAACACGUAGGGGGCGAGCGUUGUUCGGAAUCAUUGGGCGUAAAGGGCGUGCAGGCGGUCCUGCAAGUCCGGCGUGAAAGACCCCGGCCCAACCGGGGGGACGCGCUGGAAACUG